CUUGAUAUUUGAUACAACACGUUGUUGAACUAUAGCAUACCUGCAUUUUACACAUGUAACCAUCAGUAGUCAAUGACAGCUGAAGGAAAAUGCACGGAUGUUGUCGUAGGUACCACCUUAAUCUACACAUUUUGCCAGAAAUCAUGCAAACAUAAUAGUCCCUUAAAUUCUAUUUAAGAUGAAAUAGAAUCUGCUGAGAUUUACUAGGAU